UGGGGAAUAUUACACAAUGGAGGAAACUCUGAUGUAGCAACGCCGCGUGGAGGAUGACACAUUUCGGUGCGUAAACUCCUUUUAUAUGGGAAGAUAAUGACGGUACCAUAUGAAUAAGCACCGGCUAACUCCGUGCCAGCAGCCGCGGUAAUACGGAGGGUGCAAGCGUUACUCGGAAUCACUGGGCGUAAAGCGCGCGCAGGCGGUCUUUUAAGUUGGAUGUGAAAUCCUAUGGCUCAACCAUAGAACUGCAUCCAAAACUGAAAG
rnacentral:rRNA from 1 species